GAUGAACGCUGGCGGUAUGCUUAACACAUGCAAGUCGAACGAAGGCUUCGGCCUUAGUGGCGCACGGGUGCGUAACGCGUGGGAAUCUGCCCUUGGGUUCGGAAUAACUCGCCGAAAGGCGUGCUAAUACCGGAUGAUGUCGCGAGACCAAAGAUUUAUCGCCUGAGGAUGAGCCCGCGUAGGAUUAGCUUGUUGGUGAGGUAAAGGCUCACCAAGGCGACGAUCCUUAGCUGGUCUGAGAGGAUGAUCAGCCACACUGGGACUGAGACACGGCCCAGACUCCUACGGGAGGCAGCAGUGGGGAAUAUUGGACAAUGGGCGAAAGCCUGAUCCAGCAAUUCCGCGUGGGUGAAGAA
rnacentral:rRNA from 1 species